CAUUGAAUAAUAUUUGAACUUCUUUUUCUUAUUGCCAAAUGUGCCAUUAGAGUUAUUAUUACAUAAAUAAUAAACAAAAAUGACAAUAUUUUGGGAAAUGUUAUACAAGUAAUAUGAUGACUUCUUAAUUUUUUUCCCUAUUCAAAAAUCAGAUCACACAGUGGGUGCUAAAGAAAUUUGACCCCAGUUUCUAAAAUCCCAGUUUACUACCUUUUCAAUUUUCUGUGUAGCUACAUGUACACGAAAUCAAUCUCUAACAAAACCAUGAUUCUGAGAGUGGAAUGGGUACUCCCUGUGAAACACUUUUACACCAUCAAUUGGUGAACUCAUGUUUCUAAUUCCUCCUCGCUUGCAGAUAAACAUGGCUGGUCGAGUUUCUGCAUCACAAGAGUCAACAUUUACUUCAAGUCGGAGAUACUCAAGUCCAUAUAAUAAAAAUUAACUACCAGGGAUGUGGCUUCAUGAGGUGCGAAAUAGUAUAUAGUAAUUUGUUGAAUGGGGACAUGUACAUCCCACACAAUAAGCUAAACUAGAUAGAACACAGCAUUAGAGCAGCAGAAUCACUAAGAGAACUUGAGAAAAUGAGACUGUUGACUAAAUGGGACAACCACACAAAUGACAUACAAUCACAUGAUGAGAAGAAAGUUUUCGUGGUUCAGUCUGUGUACCAGACAAUUUACUAAUAACUGUCACACACUAAGUCAUAAAUCACACGAGGUCACAACCAUAUACUGUACAAUUUAUGAGUCACAAUUAUAUUUAAGUCAAACGCGACCUCUAAUAAAUAUUGUGAUUUAUAAUAGAAAUUAAAAGGGACACUAUCACAUACUAAACAAUUUAUUGAUCACAGUCACGCACUAAUUCACAAUUCACAAAAAGUUACAGUCAUAUACCAUCCAAUUUAUGAAUCACGAUUACAUAUUAAAUCAUAAAUCUCAGUUAUUAAGUUAUUAAUUGUUUAUUAAUCACAAAUCAUGCAAAUCACUGGUCACAAUCACUAAUUUAAUUAUUUUAAUGGUCACACUCCCAUAAUAAAUUAUAAAUUACACAAUUAAUGGGUCACAAAUAAUUUAAUGAUCAAGUAUGCCGAAGGGGUCCAUCUUCAGUAGGUUAAUCCCCUCAUCUAUCUAUAAAUACUAAUACUUUGAAUUAUUUAUUUAUUUAUUAAAACGAUUGUGCAAGGUACUGCCUAUUUUUAAUUUGGAGUAAUUUACCAACAAAUCUAAAACAAUAAUAUUGAAGUUUUUGCAUCAUUUGCUAGUCCAGAAUAUCUCUAAGAGACUAUUUACUUUUUAAGAAAUAACUUGACUGUGAUAAAAAAGCAUUUUUAAAUUUGAAAAGUAAAUUUUUACUUUGAUUUUUUAUGAAAUGUCUUUUAGUAAUUUUAAAGGUUUAAAAAUAAAAACCUGCGACAUCACACCAGUGUGUCAUGUGACUAUGAUAAUAACUUUUGUUACAGUGUGAAUAGUAUUAUGUGCCUCUCUACUCUGAUUGUAUGAUACGAUUGUAUAUGUAUAGGAUGUGAUAACUACGGCUCGAUAAUAUUUAUAAAAAGUGCUCCGAUAAAUAGCACGUGUGAAUUAUGUAUCGUGAUUGUAGUAAACUAUUUUUGAUUCAUUUAUUUUAGUUUUUCGAAAGUACAUGAGUAGUAGAAAUGGAAGCGAGACAUUUUUUCAAACAUGAAUCCCAUUUUAACACUAUUCCUAAGAAAAGAAUUUGAUCUUUAUCUCGGAUGAUCUUUCUUUAUUCUUAACGUUGAUAAAAAAUUUCGAUUUUUAUUUAUAUAGUUAAAAUGCAUAUACCUAUCCCAAUAAUCUAUAAUGAAAUAUGAAAAGCUCCCUAUUCAGUUGCCCCAAUUCUCUAUUCAAAACAUAUAAAAAAGGAUAUUAAUAUUUUUAAAAUUAUAUUUCAAAUGAUAAAAUCGGUUUAAAAAAUUAUCACAAUAAUCAGGAUUUUGAUUAGAAUAAAAACAAAAACAAAAACAAAUGUUUAAAAUUAAAAAUACCUUAGUUAUGCAUAUAAUAAAUUUAUAACUGAUUUUUUUAUUAUAAGAAGUUAGAAACUUAACCCCCAUUUAUUAAAAUUCAUUUUUCCCAUUUUCAUUUAUGAUUACUCAUUUAAGAGAUCCACGACUUUUAAACCACACAUUUCAAGAAUUUUUAUCAAAAUCUAUUAGAAGUCUAAUUUUAUCCAAACUAAAUAGGGGCUUAAUUUUAUCUUUUAUAAGACUUUGGAGAAUUACAAUAAAUACGCAUUUCCAUGAUUAAUUAAAAAUAAACUCUAGGCAUAAAUUUUUUUUUUUGUCAAAUAGAACCUAAAAAUGUUGCAAAGUCCAACCCAACCAAUCCCGUUAUCCAUCCUAGAAAUUUCAACCAUGUUCCACUACAUAGAUAUUGAGCAGUACAUGUUAGAGUUACCAUAUGGGUUAACAGCCUUGGCCUAUCCAUGUGCUCUCCACCUUGACUCCUGGGAGGUACAUCCUGCGAUUUACCUCCUCCACGAUAGCCCAGAGCAAGGUCAGUGGGAGCCCUUAAGGUUGGGGUUCAACCUUUUUUUAAUUAAGGAACAUGUUGCAGUCCAAGUUAAUACUCCGGAAAUCAUUGAAUAAUAUUUGAACUUCUUUUUCUUAUUGCCAAAUGUGCCAUUAGAGUUAUUAUUACAUAAAUAAUAAACAAAAAUGACAAUAUUUUGGGAAAUGUUAUACAAGUAAUAUGAUGACUUCUUAAUUUUUUUCCCUAUUCAAAAAUCAGAUCACACAGUGGGUGCUAAAGAAAUUUGACCCCAGUUUCUAAAAUCCCAGUUUACUACCUUUUCAAUUUUCUGUGUAUCUACAUGUACACGAAAUCAAUCCCUAACAAAACCAUGAUUCUGAGAGUGGAAUGGGUACUCCCUGUGAAACACUUUUACACCAUCAAUUGGUGAACUCAUGUUUCUAAUUCCUCCUCGCUUGCAGAUAAACAUGGCUGGUCGAGUUUCUGCAUCACAAGAGUCAACAUUUACUUCAAGUCGGAGAUACUCAAGUCCAUAUAAUAAAAAUUAACUACCAGGGAUGUGGCUUCAUGAGGUGCGAAAUAGUAUAUAGUAAUUUGUUGAAUGGGGACAUGUACAUCCCACACAAUAAGCUAAACUAGAUAGAACACAGCAUUAGAGCAGCAGAAUCACUAAGAGAACUUGAGAAAAUGAGACUGUUGACUAAAUGGGACAACCACACAAAUGACAUACAAUCACAUGAUGAGAAGAAAGUUUUCGUGGUUCAGUCAAUAGAUGAGAGUUUAUGGCAAAGAGGAGCAAAUCCCAUUAUUAAUGUAAAAAUAGAAAUUUUUAACUCUCUUGGUCACCAAUCCUAAGAAGCUCAUUUCCUCCCUCCAAAGCCAUGCAAUUCCAAACUCCGAAGUGAGCCAAAAAUACGAGACAUCGCAACAUCUUGUGCCAUACAAAUAAAAUACACACGACUGUUGAUA
rnacentral:lncRNA from 1 species